GAAAGAUCUUCUCUGAUCGGGGCAACAAUGGUCAACGUUUUGCAAGCGCGGGAUUUGUGACACAAAGUAUGGAAAUGACCUGGCUCUCAUGAAACUCCUUAAAUUUGCAGGAGAUUAAAACACACAGGUGUUCAAAUCCAACAAUAGCGACUCGUCUCUUUUGAGCUGAGAAUGGGAGAAGUCAAGGUCAUGUUUUCAUACGAUGUGUUACAAAUCGUUAGAAGCCGGCUGGAGCCAGAAGAUCUGGACUGUAUCCAAUUGAUGACAGCACCACCAGAGGAUGGGAUGGAAUUGAAUAAAUAAGACAGUUUUUGCACUUCAGAUGAAUGGGGGAAUCUUUGUCUGAUGAUUAGGUGAAAGAUAGUCCUUUGUUGUAUCUGAUCCGUGUACACAUAAUUGUAGAUUGCAAUAUCAUUCUUCACUAAAAGCUUGUUAUUAACUUUAACUGGACAAAUCCUGAGUCUUAUUUCUCUGAUCUACCAGUAAACGAACACUAUUCAGAGUGUAGUGACCAUAGAAUUGGAGUCAGAUUAAGUCUGCCCUUUUUAGGGCCAGACCGGUCAUCGGUCACAUUUUAGA